rnacentral:rRNA from 1 species
CACGUAGGGGGCGAGCGUUGUCCGGAUUUAUUGGGCGUAAAGAGCUCGUAGGCGGCGCGGUAAGUCGGGUGUGAAAUCUUGGAGCUUAACUCCGAAACUGCAUUCGAUACUGCCGUGCUUGAGGACUGGAGAGGAGACUGGAAUUUACGGUGUAGCGGUGAAAUGCGUAGAUAUCGUAAGGAAGACCAGUGGCGAAGGCGGGUCUCUGGACAGUUCCUGACGCUGAGGCACGAAGGCCAGGGGAGCAAACGGG